UACCUAUACUAUCAGUAUGCCUUUAACAUCGAUAACGACCAUUUCAAAAUUUAAGAUUAAUUUAGUGUUUUAAUUUGAAACCUCUUGUAUGGAGUAUGCUAGUUACGCACCGACCACUUCAGUGGAUGUAGUUAGUUUUCUAUGCUAAAUGUUAAACAUUCUGUCGGAAAACCGAGUCAGUUUCACUACUGCAAAUCUAGGGAAAUAGUGUGAUGCAGCAUAAUAAUAUGAAGAAAUCUUUACCUGCAUCGAAAUUAGUUAACACUAUCACAUCAUUAUUAUAUUUCAUAAUUAGUAGUAAAGGAUCCAACCCAAAGGAAAAACAUUUUUAUCACAACACUUACACAUAGUACGAAGUAUAUAUUAAAAUAAAUAAUAAAAACCAUCAAUUUGAGGUACAAGUAUAAAAAAUAUAUUAGGUAUGUAUAACAUUCUACAUGUAUUUAUCAUAUUAGCAAUUUUAAAUACACACAUAUAUAUAUAUAUAUAUAUAUAAGGAACACAACAUAGGGGAAAAAUGAAACAAAAAUAUGUCAUGGGAUAAAAACCUAUAUAAUAUACAAAGAGGUUUGACUAAAUAAAACCAGUAAGAGACAAAAUUAAAUUACUAGAAAGCAGUGGCACAACUUGAAUAUUUUCAGGGGUCAUGUAAUACACAAAGUUAACUAAACCAAUUUU